AGUAAAGUCAGCUAAUUAAGCUUUUGGGCCCAUACCCCUACCAUGUUGGUUAGAAUCCUUCCUCUACUA
rnacentral:tRNA from 1 species